rnacentral:lncRNA from 1 species
AUUUUGUGUCUGAAACAUCUGAAUUCUCAAGUGUAGGAAGAAGACUUUGUAAAUUAGGCCAAAGAACAGCCAUUAAGGCCUACUUACACAGUCAUUCCAGAUUGCCUCCCUUGCUGUGGGCUUUCUUCUUAGAAGCCCUGGACUCAGGUCAGAUGACAUAAUGACCUUGGGCAAAGUGGGUGUGAGAGGUAACUGAGGUUAAAGUGAUGUAGUGCUUUUAAUAAGUAUAGUUGUGCUGUUUUAUCUAAGAAUGUAAGGUAAAAUAAAUUACUGUGUGGUACCUCUGAGUCACCAUGGUGGCAUUAGCCUCUGGACAUGUUAACCAAGAAACUCAUAAAUAUAAUAGAUUGAUAUUUAGGUUUUACUUUUUGGACAGAUUUUUAAUCAUUACAAUUAUGGGCUGUGUCUUGAAUCCACAGGAAUCUGCUCUUUGAUGCCAAGUGUAUAGAUUUCAUGAUCAAAUAAAAUGUUUGCAGGAA